UUGAUUUGAAAUUAGGUUUUUAUUAUAUUUAUGAGUUUUAUUUUUUUUAUAGAAAUAACUUUGUUUUUAGUAUUUUUUACUGAAAUAAUUAUUUUAAUUAUAGUUUAUUGUACUGUGAAGGAUUAAUAUUGUAUUGUUUAUAAGUAGUUUUAUUUUGAUGUACCUUUUGUAUCAGGGUCGAUUAAAUUAUUAUAUUUAUAUAUAUUUCCCGAAAUUAGGAGAGCUAGGGUUAUUGUGUUAUUUAAUGUGUCAAAAUUAUUAAUUACUUAACUUUGGUAAUGAGAUGUUAUUCGUUCUUAAAUAUCUGGUUUUCUUGGAAUUAAAUUUAAUUUAGGAUCUUUAUUAGUUUAUGGGAUAAUUUUAUUUCUUUUACUUUUAAGUUCUAAUAUUCUUGGGGAUAAGCUCAGGGUUAAUUAUAUAAGUUUUAGAUUUUGUUGGGAAUUUUGUAGGCUUGAAAUCAGCCAUCAGUUAUUUCGUUAUAGAUUAUUUUCUUUUAUGAUUUAUUUAUUUGGCUUUAUUUGUUUACUUGAAUGAUUGAUUUAAUUUGUGAUUUAUUGUAAUAAUGAUUGAAUUAGUAUCUUAGUUAAUUAAGUCAUAGGAACUCGGCAAGUUCAAUGCCCGCCUGUUUAACAAAAACAUGUCCUUUUGUUUAUUUAUUUAAGGUCUGACCUGCCCAAUGAGGAAUUGAAUGGCCGCAGUAUUUUAACUGUGCUAAGGUAGCAUAAUCAUUUGUCUUUUAAUUGAGGGCUGGAAUGAAGGGUUGGACGAGGUAUUAACUUUCUUUGAUUUAAUGAGGAGAAUUUAAUUUUUGAGUUAAAAAGCUUAAAUUUAUUUGUGGGACGAGAAGACCCUAUAGAUCUUUAUAGUUUUAUAUUUUAAUAAUUUGGUGAUUUAUUUGUUUUAAGUAGAUGAACUAUUUUGUUGGGGUGACUGUAGAAUUUAAAUAACUUCUAUUAUUUUAUUUCAUUAAUUAAUGUUUUUGUGAUCCAUAUUUUAUGAUUAUAAGAUUAAGUUACCUUAGGGAUAACAGCGUAAUUUCCUCGGAGAGUUCAUAUUGAUGGGGGAGUUUGCGACCUCGAUGUUGGAUUAAAAUAAGUUAUGGAUGCAGGAGUCUAUUUACUAGGUCUGUUCGACCUUUAAAUUUUUACAUGAUCUGAGUUCAGACCGGCGUGAGCCAGGUCAGUUUCUAUCUUUAAAUUUGUUAUACAUUUUAGUACGAAAGGACCGAGUGUAUGAAAUAAUUUUUGUUAAUUUGAUUAAUAUU
rnacentral:rRNA from 1 species